CACUUCCGGAGAAUUUGAGUUGCACAUGUCAUCCAAGGAUGUCCAGAAAUAAGUUAAAUUGAGUUUUGAAUGACUUUUAAAUGUGUCUGUUUGUACGUCAGCGCUGGAGCCACUAGGGGGAGACAACUUCUCAGAUACAGAUUCAGGGGAGUCUUGUUGGAGUCGCGGCAGUGUGCCUACAUGACUGUAGCCCUCACUGGACCUCACAUAGCUGGCUGUUCGAGGACGCAUGGCCUCCAGGUCGUCCGCCGUGGACUCCCGCACUGUGUCCAGUCCUGCUUUGUCUCCAUCAAAGGACACACUGCCUCCUCCAGACUCUGGCUCAGACUUGUCAGUGGAGCGGCGGAAUGACAGGUGGAGGGCCCAUCACCUGAUUACUUCAAAGGAGAUGUUAUUGCUUUACCUGGAAUGUUCCACAUGGUAUACACCCCAUGGAGAAACACAGAUGACCACCUGGCAAAGUUUGAGAUCAGGUCUGUGAAGAGACAAGCGUGCCCAGUGUAAGAAUUUGUGCUAUUCAAUGUAUCUAUAUAUUUUGCCACACCACAUUCUAGACAA